AUACAUGUGCUUUAAGCAAGAGCAUGUAGGGAACUCCUGGAGAUCCUUUGAAAACUGCAACUCUAGGAACUCAAGAUCAUUCAGAUUGUCAUAAUGAGAAUUUGACUGGAGAUGGCAAGGAUCUUGGUAACAAGAUUCCCUGAUGUUAUUGUCCGAUUUCCAGGCCACAUUGAUGUUCAGGAAACACUAGUUGACUUUGUAAAUGGUUCUGAAACAGAGAUAGAUAUUCCUGCAAACUUUGAAUAGUAUGUGUCCAGUCCCCAAACUAGCAUAUUACGUCAAAUUUAUUUUUAUAAAUUCUCUAACUUCUUUCUGGAAUGCAGAGGUUGGAUAUAUAUAUAU